GGCUCAGGAUGAACGCUGGCGGCGUGCCUAAUACAUGCAAGUCGAGCGAACGGACGAGAAGCUUGCUUCUCUGAUGUUAGCGGCGGACGGGUGAGUAACACGUGGAUAACCUACCUAUAAGACUGGGAUAACUUCGGGAAACCGGAGCUAAUACCGGAUAAUAUUUUGAACCGCAUGGUUCAAAAGUGAAAGACGGUCUUGCUGUCACUUAUAGAUGGAUCCGCGCUGCAUUAGCUAGUUGGUAAGGUAACGGCUUACCAAGGCAACGAUGCAUAGCCGACCUGAGAGGGUGAUCGGCCACACUGGAACUGAGACACGGUCCAGACUCCUACGGGAGGCAGCAGUAGGGAAUCUUCCGCAAUGGGCGAAAGCCUGACGGAGCAACGCCGCGUGAGUGAUGAAGGUCUUCGGAUCGUAAAACUCUGUUAUUAGGGAAGAACAUAUGUGUAAGUAACUGUGCACAUCUUGACGGUACCUAAUCAGAAAGCCACGGCUAACUACGUGCCAGCAGCCGCGGUAAUACGUAGGUGGCAAGCGUUAUCCGGAAUUAUUGGGCGUAAAGCGCGCGUAGGCGGUUUUUUAAGUCUGAUGUGAAAGCCCACGGCUCAACCGUGGAGGGUCAUUGGAAACUGGAAAACUUGAGUGCAGAAGAGGAAAGUGGAAUUCCAUGUGUAGCGGUGAAAUGCGCAGAGAUAUGGAGGAACACCA
rnacentral:rRNA from 1 species